UAUAUACUAAUAGUGUCUAUUGUUUGUUGGACUAUACCUGUUGUUCCAGUUAUGAUCUUAUUGGCAGUUGAUAAUGGCUACUACAUUACAAUUA